CGGGUGAGUAAUGUAUAGUUAAUCUGCCCUUUAGAGGGGGAUAACAGUUGGAAACGACUGCUAAUACCCCAUACUCCUUCUAUGUUAAUCAUAGUUGGGAAAUGUUUUUUCGCUAAAGGAUGAGACUAUAUGGUAUCAGGUAGUUGGUGGGGUAAGAGCCUACCAAGCCAAUGACGCCUAGCUGGUCUGAGAGGAUGAUCAGCCACACUGGGACUGAGACACGGUCCAG
rnacentral:rRNA from 1 species